rnacentral:rRNA from 1 species
UACGUAGGGUGCAAGCGUUAAUCGGAAUUACUGGGCGUAAAGCGUGCGCAGGCGGUUAUGUAAGACAGAUGUGAAAUGCCCGGGCUCAACCUGGGAACUGCAUUUGUGACUGCAUGGCUAGAGUUUGGCAGAGGGGGGGUAGAAUUCCACGUGUAGCAGUGAAAUGCGUAGAUAUGUGGAGGAAUACCGAUGGCGAAGGCAGCCCCCUGGGUCAAGACUGACGCUCAUGCACGAAAGCGUGGGGAGCAAACAGG